UACGUAGGGUGCAAGCGUUGUCCGGAAUUAUUGGGCGUAAAGAGCUCGUAGGCGGCUUGUCGCGUCGGGAGUGAAAGCCCGCUGCUUAACGGCGGGUUGGCUUCCGGUACGGGCAUCGCUGGAGUGCGGCAGGGGAGACUGGAAUUCCUGGUGUAGCGGUGGAAUGCGCAGAUAUCAGGAGGGACACCGGUGGCGAAGGCGGGUCUCUGGGCCGUUACUGACGCUGAGGAGCGAAAGCGUGGGGAGCGAACAGG
rnacentral:rRNA from 1 species